UUUUUUGGGGAUAGAGGGACUUGAACCCUCACGAUUUUAAAAGUCGACGG
rnacentral:tRNA from 1 species